UAGGGAAUCUUCCGCAAUGGACGAAAGUCUGACGGAGCAACGCCGCGUGAGUGAAGAAGGAUUUCGGUUCGUAAAACUCUGUUGUUAGGGAAGAAAAAAUGUAUAGUAACUAUAUACAAAAGAGACGGUACCUAACCAGAAAGCCACGGCUAACUACGUGCCAGCAGCCGCGGUAAUACGUAGGUGGCAAGCGCUGUCCGGAAUUAUUGGGCGUAAAGCGCGCGCAGGUGGUUUAGAAAGUCUGAUGUGAAAGCCCACGGCUCAACCGUGGAGGGUCAUUGGAAACUAAUAAACUUGAGUGCAGGAGAGAAAAGUGGAAUUCCUAGUGUAGCGGUGAAAUGCGUAGAGAUUAGGAGGAACACCGGUGGCGAAAGCGGCUUUUUGGCCUGCAACUGACACUGAGGCGCGAAAGCGUGGGGAGCAAACAGG
rnacentral:rRNA from 1 species